rnacentral:rRNA from 1 species
UACGGGGGGGGCAAGCGUUGUUCGGAAUUACUGGGCGUAAAGCGCACGUAGGCGGAUAUUUAAGUCAGGGGUGAAAUCCCAGAGCUCAACUCUGGAACUGCCUUUGAUACUGGGUAUCUUGAGUAUGGAAGAGGUAAGUGGAAUUGCGAGUGUAGAGGUGAAAUUCGUAGAUAUUCGCAGGAACACCAGUGGCGAAGGCGGCUUACUGGUCCAUAACUGACGCUGAGGUGCGAAAGCGUGGGGAGCAAACAGGG